rnacentral:lncRNA from 10 species
UAGGAACUGACAAAAUCAAGUCACGGCGCCUACAAAGAUGAGGGGCAGAUUCUGGCUGCCUUUUAAUUUCGUCCUUCACCUGAUAUCUGUGCCAGAGAAUGAUAAAAAUCAUAAUAAAGGAAAUAAUGGAAGAGGAGACUUAUGUUACUGGGGACAUCUAACAUAAUUAUUUUCCUGAUUCAGUGGCAUGGUUCAGUCUUCCAGGAGUUCUGCUACAGAGAAGAGAGUAACCCCCAUCCAUCAUGGCCAAAGCACCCAGUCAGGCUCCGCUCUGGAUCCAGCCCGACAAAUGCAACCCUUGAAUAGGGUUUGUGCAAGCAAACUGGAUGACGACCGAAGAAACCCUGUCGCUUCUGAGAAGACACCCAAUCCAAGAAUGAAAGCAUCAGGUUCAAUACCUAGGAACUCCUGUAGAGGGUGUUGUGGAAUCUUCUUUAAAAGAACAAAACAAGGCAAAACAAAGUUUAAUAGGGUAGAGCAGCCAGGUGUGGUGGGUCAUGCCUGUAAUCUCAGCAAUUUGGGAGGCCAAGGCAGGAUCUCAGCAAUUUGGGAGGCGAAGGCAGGCAGAUCACUUGAGCCUAGGAGUUCAAGACCAGCUUGGGCAACAUAGCAAGACCCUGCCUAUACCAAAAAAAAAAAGUGAACCUAGGAGUAUGAGGCUGCAGUAAGCUGUGGUUGUACCAGUGCACUUUGGGAGGCCAAGGUAGGCGGGUCUUCUGAGAUCGAGAGUUUGAGACCAGCCUGACCAACAUGGAGAAACCCCGUCUCUACUAAAAGUACAAAAUUAGCCGGCAUGGUGGUGCAUGCCUGUAAUCCCAGCUACUCGGGAGGCUGAGGCGGGAGAAUUGCUUGAACUCAGGAGGCAGAGGUUGUGGUGAGCCAAGAUCGCGCCAUUGCACUCCAGCCUGGACAACAAGAGCGAAACUCCAUCACAAACAAACAAACAAUAAACAAAAACCAUAGAGUGAUUUCUGGCCAACAGAGCAAGAAAGAAGUGAACCAAUGAAAACCGGUCCAAGUCUGGGAGUCAAUAUGGAAAAGCUGCCUAAUUAAUGUGGAAGCCCCAGGGAAAUGAUAUACCAUGAAAACCUAACACUACAAAAACUAGUUGUCAGACACAUGUGAGCAGUGAACAGAAUCCUAAUAUGCUGGUUUAACAUUCAAAACUGGAGAGUGUUUGUGUAUCUUCUAAAGACUGUUUGGGGUUUAUUUGUGGAGUUCAGCUGAGUGUCAUCAGAACAAAGAUUAGUGCAAAAAAUCUUUCAGAAAUCAUGCCCAAACAUUUGCAUGCACCUUAAAUAAGAAAUGAAAUAGCAAGAAGAGUAUGUCACAAUAAAGUAUAAAUAGCAAGUGAUAUGUCUCAUCGUACUGAGACAGUUUUAUAAAUGAGGCAAAGGCCUUGUCAAAAAAUAAUGAUGAUUUUCAAAAUUCUGAAACGCAAAGGAGGAAAACUACUUCAUUCAGUUAACAGGAAGCACACAAGAAUCUCCCCAUCAACCAAGAUUUUUUUUUUCUAUAACCCACGCUUUGUAAGACAAUAAUAGCAAAAACUAUAAACUAGAAUUUGUUGAAAGAACAACUUCUAGAAUUUGCCCUUUAUGUGCUGUUUUACCAUUGUCAUGUCUGUCUCUGGUAUGACUUCCUCAUCUAUUAGUAGCCUCCUAAUAAAUUUGAACAAAUGAAUGAAUG